CAGGAUGUCUGCCAGCUCCUCUCCAGCCACCUCUUCUCACAGGGGGUGAGCCAGACCACAUCUGCUAAUCCAGGAGCACAGCUCAGGACUAGUCAAUGCAGAUGGAAUCUCUCUCUAGCCUUUUCUCUAUGUCAGUUUUGUCUGCCUGGCAAGAAGAAACAAAAACAACCCCAAAACAAUGCCUCCCCACAAACACAGCACAAAACAAGGGACUUGAAAAGUUGGAGAAAACCUUUUAACACGUUUCUGUAAAUCUUUUCUGGGGAGGUUUAUUACAGGUACUACCCAUCAGCAACUUAGCCGGCCAGGUGAGUUGAUGCAGAAGCGCUUCGGGUGAAUUUAUGCCAGAGCCAUCAGGUGUGACUUGGCCACCUCUCCCAAUUACCACAAGGAGGUCUUAAAAUUGAAUUUCAGUUUCAGCAGAUACUUCAGAUUUACCUGAGCAAUAUCAUAGACAAUGUACUCGUUAUAUAGUAGACAGGUGUCAUUCACACCAGAUGAAAUCCCAGUCCCAAGAGGAACCUCUGCACCAUCCAGAGUAAUACUAGCUGAAGGGUCAGGGGUAGUUUUGCCCAAACCUUUGACACUGUACUUGCCCUUGGGUAACUUGCUGAUAUGUGAAGCAUGCUUCAGUUCAUACAUGUUUCCAAGGGCAACUUCUCCCAACAGGUUUAAGCCUGUUGGGCCUCCCUGAGCUGUAUGGCACUAGUUGGCACUCUUGGAGACCAUGUCAGUGAAACAGAUCCCUUUACCAAACAUGUAGCCCAUCAUGGGCACUUUAGGCAAGGCUAUCCAAAGACCCUGGGACAGGAUC
rnacentral:lncRNA from 1 species